GUUAAUUUACAGUUCGGGAGGACUUACACUUUAAAAAAAAAUGAAUCCAAGUGCGAACUCCAACGAUAGGACACGUGAGGGUCCCAGUUAUGGAAUAAUUAAUUGUUAGGAGACAAAGUGAGGAUAUGCUGUGCUGGUGAAGAUGAGAUUUAAAGGUGUAAAUAUCCCCUGGAACUACUUGUAAAGCUGUACAUAAUGUCACUACCGACCAGGGUUCUUUUGAAAACCCUGACCUGGAAUUACACACUGACUUCGGUUCUUUGUGGGAACAGGAUUCACUCUCAGGGUCUGAUGAUUGGCCGCUACUUAAUACACCCCGAACACGGAGACUAGCACACCUUCAGGGUUCCAGGAUUUCUUGGCUCUGGAGGGGGUGCCUCUGCAGGAAACUGGUGUGUUGUGGGAGUACACGAAAGAUUGAAAGCAGCUAGCUGGCUGCCAGCUGUGUGCCCAGAGACCCGAAUUCUUUGGGCACACAGCUCAGAAAAAGCGACACAGCAGACUUUUAACAUCGUAAAUCAGCAAGUUGUUUGUUACAUUUCCCCUCUCACUGUGAAACUGGGACACCUCUUUUUUCCUUAUUAGGGAGAGAGAGAAUCUCUGGUAUGCCGAAUUACCAGGUGAAUGGGUAGUCUUUGAGGUACUGCAAGUCUGUGU